rnacentral:rRNA from 1 species
UGCAAUAGCCUAAGUCCUCUAAAGGCACCAGAUUCCAUCUCAUCCUGGAAGAUGAACAGGGUCGGUUCUGGUUAAUACUUGAAUGGGAGACUGCCAAGGAAUACCAGGGGCUGUAGACU